rnacentral:rRNA from 1 species
UCCAGAGGUCUCAAGCGUUGUUCGGAUUCAUUGGGCGUAAAGGGUGCGUAGGUGGCGCUGUACGUCGGGUGUGAAAUUUCGGAGCUUAACUCCGAAACUGCAUUCGAUACUGCGGUGCUUGAGGACUGGAGAGGAGACUGGAAUUCAUGGUGUAGCAGUGAAAUGCGUAGAUAUCGUAAGGAAGACCAGUGGCGAAGGCGGGUCUCUGGACAGUUCCUGACGCUGAGGCACGAAGGCCAGGGGAGCAAACGGG